rnacentral:rRNA from 1 species
UAGUGAGUUUGAUCCUGGCUCAGGAUGAACGCUAGCGGGAGGCCUAACACAUGCAAGCUGAGCGGUAGAGAUCCUUCGGGAUCUUGUGAGCGGCGUACGGGUGCGGAACACGUGUGCAACCUGCCUUCAUCAGGGGGAUAGCCUUUACGAAAGGAAGAUUAAUACCCCCAUAAUAUAUAGAGUGGCAUCACUUUAUAUUGAAAACUGAGGUGGAUAAGAUGGGCACGCGCAAGAUUAGAUAGUUGGUGAGGUAACGGCUCACCAAGUCGAUGA